AACUCGGUCAUGUGACCCAAUCUCCGGGCUGAAUAGUUCGAGGGUUCUUAGUGCUUCCUGCGAGCAGAGGCGGAAGAGGAGAAGACGGCCGACCGUUGGUCCUCGUGAGGAGACCCUCGUAGCUCCUGCCGAGACCGUUGCUCUUCCCCACGAGACCGUUGGGCUUGGAGAGCGCUAGGCAGUCCCAGCCACCGAUGGAACAGAGUUUGUCCUGGACUUAAUGCACUUGAAGGCAAGGACCAUAGCUGAUUAUAGCUGAUUAUCUCUGAAUCCCUAUGCCUGACACGUGCCCCCCAGUACAUAGUUGUAUAUUCUUCGUUGUGGGUCCUUCUAGUUGUAGCAUGUGGGAUGCUGCCUCAGCGUGGUUUGAUGAGCAGUGCCAUGUCCGCGCCCAGGAUUCGAACCAACGAAACACUGGGCCGCCUGCAGCGGAGCGCGUGAACUUAACCACUCAGCCACGGGGCCAGCCCCGAAUACAUUUUGUUUUUAUUGAUAAUUGCUAGUUUAAUUGCUUCAUGCUCAGAGAGGGUUGUUUGUAGUAUUUCUACUUUGUGAAAUUUAUUAAUUUUUUUGUAGCUUAAUAUAUGAUAAUUUUUGUGAUUAUGCCAUGGGCUAUUGAAGAGAAGACAUGCUCUCUAUGAUCAGAGUUUUUUGUUUUACAUAUAUCAGUAAGUUCUGUCUUGUUGAUUAUGUUGUUUGGGUCUUCCCUCCUCCUUACUCUUUUUUGGUCCACUUCAUCUGUCGUGUACUGAGUGGAGUAUUAAAGUCUCCUAUUCUUACUGUGUUUCUGUUUCUGUCUCCUUGCAACUUUAGUUUUUAAUUUUUACUUCAUUAAAUUUGUUGCUUAUUAUUUGGGAAUAAAUAUUUUUAAAUGUUGUAUCUUCAUUCUGCAAUGUAGACUUUGAUAUAAAAAUUGUCCUUUUGUCAUGUCUUUUUGCUUUGGGACUUGAAUUUCACUUUGCUGAUACGAGGAUAUCCUACUCUUGCUGUUUCUAUUUUUCUAUUUUCAUUCUGCCGAUUUCCAUUUGUCUGGUGUACCUUUGUCCCUCCCUUUAUAUUUAGCCUUUUUGAAUCACUGUUGGAGUUAUGUCUCUUGAAUACAAGAGUUGGGUUUUGCUUCCUGAGUGAAGUUGAAAAUUGUUUUCUUUUACUAAUCAGGUAAAGCGCAUUUCCUUUUAGUUUUAUGAAUUAUGUAGUUAUUCUCAAUUUUAUGACAAUCUUUUAUAAUUAUGUGUAUUUUAUUUGCUAUGUUUCUCUGUAAGAUGUGUAUCCUUUGCUCUUUAAUUUAACGCACACACAUUUUAGGUAUUUAGGAAUUGAUUUUUGUUUUAGUGGUGAUCUUUGUAUUUAUACCUUUUUAAAUACACAUAGUCUCUUGUCUUCUUAUUUAACCUAUUGAUGUCUGGUUUAUCAUAUUUUUAUUAGUCUCAUAGCUUCUACCUAUUGACUAUUCUAUUUUCCUCUUCUGCAUUCCCUUAUCUCACUUAUUGGUUGUAUUGCUUUUACUUUAUCAAAACAUAUAAUAUUUAUACGUGAGUCUUUCACUCUUGUUCCUCCAAAAUUUGUUUUGUUCUUUAAAUCUGUAUCAUCCAUCCAUCCCUUCAUCCACUUACCUACUACCUACCAAAAUGCUUUACCAUCAGUCAUUUUGCUGCGGUUCCCAGAUGGCUCUUGGUUGGGAGAACCUUAUCUUCUGGUACAGGAAUCGGCAAACUUUUUCUCUCACAGGCUGCCUAUUAAAUAUAUUAGGCUUUGCAGGCCGUAUGGUCUCUGUCCUAUCUACUCAGCUCUGCUGUUGUAGCAGGAAAGCUACUAUAGAUAUUAAACAAACGAAUGUAGCUGUAUUCCCAUAAAACUUUAUCUGUGGACACUAAAAUUUGACUUGCAUAUAAUUUUCACAAGUCAUGAAAUAUUGUUAUACUUUUGAUUUUUUUCAGCCAUUUAAAAAUCUAAAAACCAUUCUUAGCUCAGUCCCCAUACAAAAACGGGAGUAGCUGGAUGUGGUCCAUGGAUGUAGUUUGCCAACAUUUGUUCUAGUAGAUUCCUCAAAAAAGGCUCAUGGGUACAGAAUUCCCUAACUUUUUGUACAUUGAAAACUCUAUGUGUGUGUGUGUGUUUGUUUAAAUAACCUUGAUACUUGAAGCGCAGCUUUGUGGAAUAUAAAAUCUUUGCUUCAUACUUUGUUUCAAUGAGUAUUUUAAAAAUGCUCUUCCAUUUUUGCCUUGCUUUAUAUAUUGUUUGUGAAUGUCUGAUACCAGCCCCAUUGUUGUGCUUUUAUAUAUUACAUGAUCUGUUUGCCUGGAGACCUUAAUAUUUUAUCUUUAUCUUUGAAAUCUAAUGGUUGAAAUAGAGUGUAUCUUGAAUUUGUGCAUUUUCAAUGUAUAGGUAGACAUAGGUCUUUUUUAUUUCUGGAAAGUUUUCUUGGAAUUAUAAUUUUGAGUAAUAGUUCUGUUCUUUGAUUAUCUUUUCACUGGGACUGCAAUAAUAGAGUAUGUUGUUCUUUUUUGCUUGUCUUCUAUUUCUCUUAUUUUCUCUGCUACCCUAUUUAUGUUCCUAAUCUCAUUUUUAUUCUACUGCUUGUUUUCCUGCCCCAUACUAUACUUCAGUGUACCCUAUUAAAUUUUACCAAGAUCUAUUCUCGCUUAGGCACCUUGUAAUUUAUUCUUCAUUUGUAAAAUACCUUUGUCUCUUUCUUCCAUUUUUUUCCCUAAGUUCACUCAGCUCUAUUUUGUCUUGUGCUUUGUCCAUUUCUGUUUUCAGCUUUCAAAUUUUUGAUUCGAGGUAACAUUUUUUGAGUAAUUUUAUUGGGACUAUAUGGUUUAUAACAUUGUGUAAAUCCGAGUGUACAUUAUUGUUUAUCACUUCCUGAAUAAGUAGUCUAAUUUUUAUCCGUCACCAUACAUAUGUGCCCCUUUGUCCCUUUUGCCCACCCCCCAACGCCCUUCCCUUCUGGUAACUGCUAAUCUGUUGUCUUUAUCCAUGUAUUUGUUAUCUUCCACAUAUGAAUGAAAUCAUGCAGUACUUGUCUUUCUCUGUCUGGCUUAUUUCACUUAAUGUCACACCCUCCAGGUCGAUCCAUGUUGUUGUGAAUGGGACAAUUUUGUCUUUUUCAUGGCUGAGUAGUAUUCCAUUGUAUAUGUAUACCAUAUCUUCUUUAUCCAUUCAUCUGUAGAAUGGAACUUGUGUUGUUUCCACAUCCUGGCUAUUGUG
rnacentral:lncRNA from 1 species